rnacentral:rRNA from 1 species
GACGGGGGGGGCAAGUGUUCUUCGGAAUGACUGGGCGUAAAGGGCACGUAGGCGGUGAAUCGGGUUGAAAGUGAAAGUCGCCAAAAAGUGGCGGAAUGCUCUCGAAACCAAUUCACUUGAAGUGAGACAGAGGAGAGUGGAAUUUCGUGUGUAGGGGUGAAAUCCGUAGAUCUACGAAAGGAACGCCAAAAGCCGAAGGCAGCUCGUCUGGGUC